rnacentral:tRNA from 4 species
GCCGCCUUAGCUCAGUGGUAGAGCAACGCACUCGUAAUGCGUAGGUCCGGGGUUCAAAUCCCCGAGGCGGCUCCA